CCCACUGCGAAGCAGGCGACCUGCUCGCCGCCCAGCUCCAGGGAGAGGAACCCGCGGAGGAGAGGAUCCCGGCCCAGAAUAAGGAUAAUAAGAGUAUCAACCUCAGAGGAUCACUGCAAGAAUUGAGUGGGAUACAUAUGACGUGCUUAGCACAGUUUGUGGCCCAUGUUCCUGGGGGUCUGGUGAGAAGAAGACAGGCCUGGAGUUGAAGGAGAGAAAAAAGGCUGGGCUGGCCUGUUGGAAGGAGACUUCCACCUCUGCAAGCAUCCCCAUCUUGUUUGGAUUGCAAACUCAGUUGCCAGCCAAGCAAGAUGAGGGGAACGGCUUUGGACUCGGGCUGACUUGGACCACAUCCCAUCUCUGCCGCCAUCUGAGCUCUGUGACCGUGAAGUGCUCCUACCACCCUUCUGAGCUUUUGUUUUCUUCACCUGUAAAAGUGCAGGAAGAAUACUUACCUGUCACCAGAAUAUUCCAAGAAUUAGAAUUAAUGUUUGGAAAGUUGUUGACACCUAGCAGGUACUCAAAAAAUGGUGGCUAUUACUACUACAUUCUACAGUCUCUGCGCUACUUUGAAAGGACUUGCUUCUAGGGGAGCUUAUUUCUAAUGGGGAGAUAUUUUGGUUUUGAAGUAAAAUCUAUACCGUGUUAGAUGGGAGGUGUGCUUUAGAGAAAAAAUAAAGCAGGGAUGGGAGACUGAGAUGGCUGGGGAGCCUGAGGAAAGCCCCAUUUAUAGGUCUAAGAAUGAGAGAGAGUUUCUUUCUUAAAUUCCCUCUCCCUACUUUAUCAAAGAGAUUUUACUUCCAAAUAAGUGUAAACGGGAAAAGGGAACAGAGCCUGAAAGACACUCAAAACAGACACUCAAAAAUGCUGUCCUAGGGAGUCAGCUGGGGUGUCAUCACUGACGUGGGACUUAGGGUGUUGAGCUGGAGUCCUGGUUUGUCAUUUGAAAAGAGAAAUCCUGAUCAAGUUGUUGUACUGCUCUUUGACUCUAUUUCCUUAACUGUAAAUUAGAGGUAAGAAUCCCUGUCUCACGUGCACGAGCAGGAGAGGCUUUCUGGUCUGUUGGGAUUCUCAGAUUCACAAGGAUCAGGACGUGGCCAUUGAAAGCUGCCAUCCCAAGAGGCAAAACUAUGGAAGAUAGGAAGGAAAUCCGUACUUACCUCACUCUGCUCCCUCCUCCUUUCCGUGCCUGCGUGCACACACACACGCAUGCACACACCCUGAGGUUGUCAGGGGACUAGAGGUGUUGUCCUUGAAAGUGAAAGUCAUUCCAAGGCAAAGGAAAUGUACUGGUGUUGAGAAGGUUCGGUAGGGCCCCUUCCAACGGGAAUGGCUGACUCGCCAUGUCCUCUAAAGAUGCUGCCUUGAUUCGUGGAUUUCAGCAUUGUCCAAGCUCUGUGGCACCAUGGACUGGUUGUAUGUCACUGACAAGCAAAUGCUUAGUCCUGUGCUGU
rnacentral:lncRNA from 1 species